UUCCCAUUAUUAUAUGUAGAC
ensembl:piRNA 21ur-14373 ncRNA